rnacentral:rRNA from 1 species
CCUACGGGAGGCAGCAGUGAGGAAUAUUGGUCAAUGGACGCAAGUCUGAACCAGCCAUGCCGCGUGCAGGAAGACGGCUCUAUGAGUUGUAAACUGCUUUUGUACGAGGGUAAACGCAGAUACGCGUAUCUGUCUGAAAGUAUCGUACGAAUAAGGAUCGGCUAACCCCGUGCCAGCAGCCGCGGUAAUACGGAGGAUUCAAGCGUUAUCCGGAUUGAUUGGGGUUAAAGGGUGCGUAGGCGGUCGGAUAAGUUAGAGGUGAAAUCCCGGGGCUCAACUUCGGAAUUGCCUCUGAUACUGUUCGGCUAGAGAUUAGUUGCGGUAGGCGGAAUGUAUGGUGUAGCGGUGAAAUGCUUAGAGAUCAUACAGAACACCGAUUGCGAAGGCAGCUUACCAAGCUACUUCUGACGUUGAGGCGCGAAAGCGUGGGGAGCAAACAGGAUUAGAUACCCGGGUAGUC